AAUCUAUUUUAUUUUGUCGCUUAGUUUGAAUUCUUUGAGUGGUUUUUGUUACCAUAUGGUUUGUUUAUAAACAUUUAAACUAAAUAAAUAAACAUGUUAAUAAUGUUAGAAAUUAAGCGAUUUGAAUUUUGGUUAUUCACACUAUUUUUCAAAAAUCAAUAGUCAAAUGUAUUUCAAUCGGCGUGAAUAUAAAAAUUCAUUUAUCGCUUAAGUAUACUGGUGUAAAGUUUAAAAAAACUUUCCGGAAUCAGAAGUUAUUUGGUAUAAGUAUUUGAUAAUAUAUCAAAUAUGGUUAAAGGAGUUGUUAUCAUCUAUUGGUUGGUAAUUUUAACUGUCACGCAUAAAUUACGACUCUCAAAAUCGUGCCAGAGGUGAUUUAUUAUGUUUGGAAAACUUUUAUUUUACAUUUUUUGUUUGGAUCAUCUUAUAUUUGUGGCAUUUAAAUCGUUGACAACAGUUUUUCAAUCUAAGAAAGAAAAUAUCUUCGUUUUGUUUGGUUUGGUUUGUGCUUUAGGUUUCCUGGUUGAUGUUUGUUGAAAUCAGUCUGCAAAUUUCUUUAAAGGAAUUGUGUUUUAAUAUUGAUAAUUGUUAAUAAUCACCGUACAAUCGUAUAAAGCUAUUAAAGUGUUUGUUUACUCAGAUGUUCUCUACGAUGGAUUCAAAUUUUGAUUGAGGAAAUGAAUUUAUUUUUGAAAUUCAAAUUUAAUUGAAGUUGGGUGCUGUCUUAAUAUACGUUUUAUGUAUUUUCGUCUACAAUGGGUUGUCAAAGACAACCUGUUGCUCUAAUAAAUCAGAGAUGUGCUCUAAUAAAGCACUGAUAUGCUAGUUGCAAAUAAAAUUAAAUAUGUUCUGAGUGAGCAUACAAGUAUUUAACUAUCCCCUUCCAGUACUGUUUUACUGUCUUCACUUCAGUUGUAUGCAUAAAAUUGUAAAUUGUUCAUUCGUCCUCUUUUGCUUGUAAUAAAGAAAAUAUUUUAUCUAAAUAUUAAUGAUAUCAUUUUUCUGCAAAUUGGUUUUAAAAAUAUUUCAGUUAAACUCUAAAAAAGUAAGAUUAUUGGGAAUAAAUUCAUAUUUAAAAUCUUCUUCAAAUUACAGCAUAUAGAGUAAGAUGGAUUGGGUACUCCUAUUCUAUGUAAUUUCCAAUAAACUAUUUUUGACAUAAAAUAAAUGUUUUUAUUAGAAAAUGUUUAAUUUCUUUAUCUAUGAUUGAUAAUACUGCCGAAGCUUGUUAUUCCCUUAAAGGUGGUUUUAGUGGGUUCAAGUCUCACACGGUGGCUUUCGAUGCUUUCCACCCUAUAAAAAAAAAAAAAAAAAAAAUUAGUUCCAAUAUAAACAAAUUUUGAAAAUGGUUCAAAUGACUGAUUUUGCUGUUCAUUCAAUCAUUAUAUUUCUAUUAAUUUCAUUUUAAAAACUUUAUUAAAACAAUUUCAAGGAAACGUAUAUUGGAAAGGUAUCAUACAUGACAAGGUUAAACUCCCAGUCAUCUUAGAAUUUGUCAUCAAACUAUACUAACCAACUUCUUUUAAUAUGGAAACUGCUUAGUCUACACCACUCUUUAAAAAACUUCAUAAGGACUUGUGCUGACAUCUAAAUGUUUUAAAAACUACCAAUCUUGGAUUCAUCAUAAUUUUAACUGUUCGUUUCCAGAUGCUUUCCGAAGAAUUAGUGGAAUUCAAACACCGUCUUAUACAACAAAAAUACAAACUUUAAAAAGCUUAUAAGUAUUAUUACACAGUUUUAUAUUAGAUAUAUAUUACUUUAUACGAUAGAGCGAUAGCUCUGUGAAUAAGUUCUGUGCCGUCCGAACUUAAACCGAAACCUUUAAUUUUGACGUGUAAUUCACAUCCUUAACUGUAAUUUCACAAAUUUAGAACCAAAAACGAAUAAAAAUUAAUUUAU